AUUGAACGCUGGCGGCAGGCCUAACACAUGCAAGUCGAACGAGUGGCGGACGGGUGAGUCAUGUCUGGGAAACUGCCCGAUGGAGGGGGAUAACUACUGGACACGGUAGCUAAUACCGCAUACCAUCGGAUGUGCCCAGAUGGGAUUAGCUAGUAGGUGGGUUAACGGUUCACCUAGGCGACGAUCCCUAGCUGGUCUGAGAGGAUGACCAGCCACAUGGGAACGGAGACACGGUCCAGACUCCUACGGGAGGCAGCAGUGGGGAAUAUUGCACAAUGGGCGCAAGCCUGAUGCAGCCAUGCCGCGUGUAUGAAGAAGGCCUUCGGGUUGUAAAGUACGUUCAGCGAGGAGGCGUUACUCGCAGAAGAAGCACCGGCUAACUCCGUGCCAGCAGCCGCGGUAAUAC
rnacentral:rRNA from 1 species